AUCCUUCACCUCUUGGCCUUACACGACUGGAGAUAACUAAAGGAGUGCUUUUUAUGCCACCGUGAGUCAUAUUUCCUAUUCUUUGCAGCAGAAGACAUCUUCCCUUAAUACAGUGACUCAUUUACACAGCUUCAAAAUUAGCAAGUGCUGACUCCAACUCCUUCACAUCAGCUUGGUGGAUGCAGCUGGUAUGAGUGACCAUCCACUGACAAGAAUCGCAGUGGAAACCCACAGCUUUCACUUCUGUCCAUCAGGACUGUCUCACCAGAGGAAGCAUAGGCUCAGCAUGAGAC
rnacentral:lncRNA from 1 species